GCUGGGAAAAGAUAGCUCAGUUGGUAGAGCAUGAAAUUCUUAUUCCCAAAGUCAUGGGUUCAAGCCCCACGUUGGGCA